rnacentral:antisense_RNA from 1 species
CUUCAACGAGCCCAGCCACAGCGGCUGUUCGCGCUCCUGUCCGUACGUGGCGAGGAGUGCCUGCGCCUC